rnacentral:rRNA from 1 species
CUGGCGGCAGGCUUAACACAUGCAAGUCGAGCGCACAGUUUACUGUGAGCGGCAGACGGGUGAGUAACGCGUGGGAAUCUACCCAUUUCUACGGGAUAACACAGAGAAAUUUGUGCUAAUACCGUAUACGUCCUUUAGUGGAGAAAGAUUUAUCGGAGAUGGAUGAGCCCGCGUUGGAUUAGCUAGUUGGUAGGGUAAAGGCUUACCAAGGCGACGAUCCAUAGCUGGUCUGAGAGGAUGAUCAGCCACACUGGGACUGAGACACGGCCCAGACUCCUACGGGAGGCAGCAGUGGGGAAUAUUGGACAAUGGGGGCAACCCUGAUCCAGCCAUGCCGCGUGAGUGAAGAAGGCCUUAGGGUUGUAAAGCUCUUUCACCGGUGAAGAUAAUGACGGUAACCGGAGAAGAAGCCCCGGCUAACUUCGUGCCAGCAGCCGCGGUAAUACGAAGGGGGCUAGCGUUGUUCGGAUUUACUGGGCGUAAAGGGCGCGUAGGCGGAUAAUUAAGUCAGAGGUGAAAUCCCAGGGCUCAACCUUGGAACUGCCUUUGAUACUGGUUAUCUUGAGUAUGGGAGAGGUGAGUGGAAUUCCGAGUGUAGAGGUGAAAUUCGUAGAUAUUCGGAGGAACACCAGUGGCGAAGGCGGCUCACUGGUCCAUUACUGACGCUGAGGCGCGAAAGCGUGGGGAGCAAACAGGAUUAGAUAC